rnacentral:rRNA from 1 species
UACAGAGGCCUCGAGCGUUAGGCGGAAUCACUGGGCUUAAAGCGUGUGUAGGCGGACUUCUAAGUACCUUGUGAAAUCCCACGGCUCACCCGUGGAACUGCUCGGUAUACUGGUCGUCUUGAGCCAUCUAGGGGCUACCGGAACAAAUGGUGGAGCGGUGAAAUGCGUAGAUAUCAUUUGGAACGCCAAUGGUGAAAACAGGUAGCUGGGGAUGUGCUGACGCUGAGACACGAAAGCCAGGGGAGCGAACGGG